GAGUCGGACCUUGCGCACCUGUAAUUCGCCCACUGGCUCCUGGUAUUGCCCAUACGGCCCAGUUGUUGGGUGUUCCUGGUCAUUAUUUGAGACUUCUACAUACUGCAAAGAAACAGCAGGCAAUACAAUUCUGCAUGCCCAAAGUCACCACUCUGUUCACACUAUCAAAGCUGUGCCAAUGGGUAAGAGGAUUAAGGCACCCAGAAACUGCAGGUUAGGAUUCUUUCACAACUGUGUAACAGGUCUCCACCGAAACAGGCUGUCAGAGCUGCCGAGAUUCAGACGGACAAAAAACGCUGCACGCAAUAGGCAUUGCGCUAACUCUAUGAUGAUCCAGAGAGCUCCAGCAGGCUGUCCUCUGCUGGAACAGCCUCCAGAGGCCGUGAACAAGAUCUAAGACUAGACCGAAAC